rfam:Xenorhabdus khoisanae strain MCB contig073, whole genome shotgun sequence.
AACCCCCAGCUUGGCUGGGGGUUCCGUAGAGCUUACAGCUAUAAGUCUGCUAUAAAAACCCCUUUUGAUUUGUUAAAACACCUUGCGGUCUGGCAACUGCAAAAGUGAAUCAAAAAAUCGAAAG